UACGUAGGGUGCGAGCGUUGUCCGGAAUUAUUGGGCGUAAAGAGCUUGUAGGCGGUUUGUCGCGUCUGCUGUGAAAAUCCGGGGCUCAACCCCGGACUUGCAGUGGGUACGGGCAGACUAGAGUGUGGUAGGGGAGACUGGAAUUCCUGGUGUAGCGGUGGAAUGCGCAGAUAUCAGGAGGAACACCGAUGGCGAAGGCAGAUCUCUGGGCCGUUACUGACGCUGGAGGA
rnacentral:rRNA from 1 species